rnacentral:rRNA from 1 species
UAUUGGACAAUGGGCGCAACCCUGAUCCAGCGAUGCCGCGUGGGUGAAGAAGGCCCUCGGGUUGUAAAGCCCUUUAGGUUGGGCAGAAGUUUAGUUGUGGAUAAAGCGGCUAAAUUGCCAGUACUGACAGAAUAAGCACCGGCAAACUCUGUGCCAGCAGCCGCGGUAAUACAGAGGGUGCGAGCGUUAAUCGGAGUUACUGGGCGUAAAGGGCGCGUAGGCGGUGAGAUGAGUGUGAUGUGAAAGCCCUGGGCUUAACCUGGGAAGAGCAUUGCAAACGAUUUGACUGGAGUAUAAGAGAGGGUGGCGGAAUUUCCGGUGUAGCGGUGAAAUGCGUAGAGAUCGGAAGGAACGUCGAUGGCGAAGGCAGCCACCGGAUUGCAACUGACGCUGAGGCGCGAAA